rnacentral:rRNA from 1 species
GACGAACGCUGGCGGCGUGCUUAACACAUGCAAGUCGAACGGAAAGGCCCUGCUUUUGUGGGGUGCUCGAGUGGCGAACGGGUGAGUAACACGUGAGUAACCUGCCCUAGACUUUGGGAUAACUUCAGGAAACUGGGGCUAAUACCGGAUAGGAGCUCCCGCUGCAUGGUGGGGGUUGGAAAGUUUCGGCGGUUGGGGAUGGACUCGCGGCUUAUCAGCUUGUUGGUGGGGUAGUGGCUUACCAAGGCUGUGACGGGUAGCCGGCCUGAGAGGGUGACCGGGGACAAGGGGACUGAGAGACGGCGCAGACGCGUACGGGAGGCAGCAGGGGGAAAUAUGGCACAAUGGGCGGAAGCCUGAGGCAGCAACGCCGCGGGCGGGAUGACGGCCUGCGGGUUGAGAACCGCAGUCGCCUGUGACGAAGCGUGAGUGACGGUAACGGGUAAAGAAGCACCGGCUAACUACGUG